UACGGAAGGGGCUAGCGUUGUUCGGAAUCACUGGGCGUAAAGGGCGCGUAGGCGGCCGAUCAAGUCGGGGGUGAAAGCCUGUGGCUCAACCACAGAAUUGCCUUCGAUACUGUUUGGCUUGAGACCGGAAGAGGUUAGUGGAACUGCGAGUGUAGAGGUGAAAUUCGUAGAUAUUCGCAAGAACACCAGUGGCGAAGGCGGCUGACUGGUCCGGUUCUGACGCUGAGGCGCGAAAGCGUGGGGAGCAAACAGG
rnacentral:rRNA from 1 species